GGACUAAUAUGUCGGUCGUGCCUCGGUACGUACUGGUAUUUUUGGUUUCUCCCUUCUGACGAACCUUGAUGUCAUUAAUUUGGUGUCUUGGGAAAUCAGGACUGUUACUUUGAAAAAAUUAGAGUGUUUAAAGCAGGCUCGCGCUUGAAUACAUUAGCAUGGAAUAAUGAAAUAGGACGUUUGAUUCUAUUUUGUUGGUUUCUAGUAUCGACGUAAUGAUUAAUAGGGAUAGUUGGGGGCAUUAGUAUUCAAUUGUCAGAGGUGAAAUUCUUGGAUUUAUUGAAGACUAACUACUGCGAAAGCAUUUGCCAAGGAUGUUUUCAUUAAUCAAGAACGAAAGUUAGGGGAUCGAAGACGAUCAGAUACCGUCGUAGUCUUAACCAUAAACUAUGCC
rnacentral:rRNA from 1 species